AGUUUUCGAGUAUGUUAAGGGCCCCAAAAGCCCCCGAGACGUUGGAAAAAAAAAAUAAUAAUAAUAAAUAUAGCUGCAAGCAGCAAUGGCGGGCUCAAGCCAUCAGCGCAAACGCCACCCCGGUGGCAUCAGGUAAACUGUGCCCAGCGGGCACAUGCAUUUACAGUAAUCCUCUGGCACUCAGGUUUUAAGGGAUACGGCAAUUAACGGGUUAAUCCGAAGCAUCAAGACUUUGAAAUCACAUACACAGAACAAUAUUCAUUAAGAAAGUGAAAUUAAAUGAUUAAUAAACUAUUUAUUCGAACCCUUGC
ensembl:lncRNA